rnacentral:rRNA from 1 species
AAUGAAACACCUGUUUCCAUACAAUCACCAAAAUUAAGCAACAUCAAGCCUGGCCAGUACCUAGAUGGGUGAUCACUUGGGAAUACCAGGUGCUGUAAG